AUGGUCUCUGUAAAAGAAAGGGUGGCAAUGCUUGAUGGCUCCAGCAGCUCUGCACCUUCGGAGCUUAUGAUGGUUAAGGACAAUACCGACUUUGCUAAGAACUUGGCGAUCAUCAACCAAGGGGUACCGCAUCUUAAGCAUAUGUUGGAGGCAAAAACAGGAGAAAAGAUGGAGUUGGCAAAAGCUGUGGCGGGAGCUGAAGGUGACAGAGCAAGAGAGGAGGAGCCAGUGGAGGAGCAAGAACCACAGCGGAGCUCCGGCUGGCCAGGGGAGUAUGCUGUCCAGGCAGGGCGCGUGACCGAUCCAAUUCCAGCCCCAAAAUGA
rnacentral:rRNA from 1 species